AUGAGCAAAUAGCAGUACCCGCAUAAGAUAUAUAAUUUCCUCGCCCUUGGUGCGUCGCUUGAUCAGGAUGGGUUUUGGACGGCUCAUGUUGAGUGUUUUUUUGUCCACUGCGUCGCGACCAGCUCGGUGAAGCUUUAAUUUUGGAGCCCCCAUUUCCUUCCAAGUUCCUCCUCAUGGAUAUUGUGUCUUUUGCUCCACCUAGCCAUGCGACAUAUAUAUCCAUUCUGAAAGUUGUGGAAACCCACUUAUUUGGAGAAGAGAUUACAGAGGAAACAAGAGAAGACAACAAGACAUAGAACAGUAAAUGCUUCAAAACAAGUCUACAUCUAAUAGAGUAGAGGAACUCACUUAAUUUACGGUGUUCCAUAUGAGCAUCAACAAAAUGUGAAAGUCCGAUAAAAAGAAGGAAGAAAAUGAUGGAGGAGAGUAUAGAGCCCGUCAUCUUAAUACUAUUGAGUGAUGAUCACUUUGAUUACAUUCAAAGCAUUUAUAUAGAUUGGAGUUGACGCUAUGGACGACUUGUGUUUGUAUUAUCUUGACGCGUCUUAAGGUUUACUCGGUCAAAUGGGUUGGCAUUGCGUUCUA